AAGUUCCAAGUUUUGAGUUUAUCUUAAACACUUGUUACAUGGCACCUGAUACUUUAUUACAUUUCUAGUGGCGACGGGUGAGUAACACGUUGGAACCUGCCCCAAAGUGAGGAAUAAGCCACCGAAAGGUGGUCUAAUACUUCAUAAUAUCCAUCUCGUAUGGAUUAAAGCUUUAUGCGCUUUGGGAGGGGCCUGCGUAACAUUAGCUAGUUGGUGAGGUAAAAGCUCACCAAGGCUUCGAUGUUUAACUGGUUUGAGAGGAUGACCAGUCACACUGGGACUGAGAUACGGCCCAGACUCCUACGGGAGGCAGCAGUAAGGAAUCUUCCACAAUGGGGCAACCCUGAUGGAGCAAUACCGCGUGCAGGAUGAAGCGUUUCGGCGUGUAAACUGCUUUUAUCACCGAAGAUUAUGACUGUAGGUGAAGAAUAAGGACCGGCUAACUACGUG
rnacentral:rRNA from 1 species